UGGCCACUCAUUAUAACUUCUAGUAAGAUAUUGAAUAGUUGUGCUAAGAUAUCCUAGCUUUGUUGUUGAUCUUAAGAGAAAAAUACUCAAUAUCCCACCAUUAAUUAUGAUGUUAGCUGAAUUUCUUGUAGACAUUAUUUACCAAGUCGAGGAAGUUUCCUAUUAUAGUUUUCUGAAGGUUUAUGUCAUGCGUAUGUGUUAGCCAAUGGUGUUUUCUGCAUUGCUUGAUAUUAUGUUAUUUUUUCUUUAGACUGAUGUUUUAGUGGAUUAUUAUGAUUGAAUUUCAAAUGUUGAACUAGCUUUGCUUAGCCAUAAAAAAAAAAUCACUUGGUUGUGGUACAUAUCUCUUUAAACAUUGUUAAAUUUGGUUUGUACCUAUAUAUCAUGAGAAAUACUAGUCUAUAGUUUUCAUGACUAUUUGGUUUUGGUAUUAGAGUAAUACCUCAUAGAAUAAUUUAGGAAGUGUUCUUUCUGCUUCUAUUUUCUGAAAGAGAUUAUGGGAACUGGUACCGCUUAGCUUUAUGCUUUCUGUUUUAGAAGGCUUUCUUGAUUCCAAUUAUUAUUUUGUUUAAGAUGUUGUUUAUUUGAGAGAGAGAGCACGAGUGGGAGGGGCAGGGGGAGAGGGAGGAAGGAAUCUUGAGCAGAAUCCACACUGAGCUUGGAGCUAGAUAUGAGGCUCAACUCCAGGACCCUGAGAUCAUGACCUGAGCCAAAACCAAGAAUUGGACACUUAAAGGACAGAGCCACCCAGGUGCCCAGAUUCCAUUUCUUUAAUAGAUACAAGGGUGUGUUUGAAUUUGCGUUUGAAAAAAAGAGUCUUUGUUUUAAAAGGGCAAUAGAGGGACGACUGGAUGGCUCAGCAGUUGAAUGUCUGCCUUCAGCUCAGAUGCUGAUCCUGGGAUCCGGGAUGGAGUCCACAUUGAGCUCCUUGCGGGAAGCCUGCUUCUCCCUCUGCCUGUGUCUCUGUCUCUCUCUCUCUCUCUGUGUCUCUCAUGAAUAAAUAAAUAAAAUCCUUAAAAAAUAAAUAAAUAAAAAGGCA
rnacentral:lncRNA from 1 species